GACGAACGCUGGCGGCGUGCCUAAUACAUGCAAGUAGGACGCAGUUGCGAACGGGAGAGUAACGCGUAGGCAACUACCUAUUAGAGGGGGGUAACUAUGGGAAACGUUAGCUAAUAACGGAUACUAGUAGCUGGACCUGCGUUGUAUUAGCUAGUAGGUAGGGAAAGGGCCUACCAAGGCAAUGAUACAUAGCCGACCUGAGAGGGUGUUCGGCCACACGGGUACUGAGACACGGCCCAGACUCCUAAGGGAGGCAGCAGUAGGGCAUCUUCGGCAAUGGGGGGAAACCUUACCGAGCAACGCCGCGUGAGUGAAGAAGGUUAUCGGGUCGUAAAGCUCUGUAGUUAAGGAUGCGGUACUUAGCCAGAAAGGGACGGCUAACUACGUGCCAGCAGCCGCGGUAAUAC
rnacentral:rRNA from 1 species